rnacentral:rRNA from 1 species
AGAAUCAACGCUGGCGGCGUGCCUAACACAUGCAAGUCGAACGAGAAAGUGGAGCAAUCCAUGAGUAAAGUGGCGCACGGGUGAGUAACACGUGACUAACCUACCCUUGAGUGGGGGAUAACCUCGGGAAACCGGGGCUAAUACCGCAUAAUAUCGAGAGAUCAAAGGAGCAAUUCGCUUAAGGAGGGGGUCGCGGCUGAUUAGCUAGUUGGUAGGGUAAUGGCCUACCAAGGCUAUGAUCAGUAUCC